rnacentral:rRNA from 1 species
UGGACGCUGGCGGCGUGCCUAAUACAUGCAAGUCGAGCGAACGGACGAGAAGCUUGCUUCUCUGAUGUUAGCGGCGGACGGGUGAGUAACACGUGGAUAACCUACCUAUAAGACUGGGAUAACUUCGGGAAACCGGAGCUAAUACCGGAUGAUAUUUUGAACCGCAUGGUUCCAAAGUGAAAGACGGUCUUGCUGUCACUUAUAGAUGGAUCCGCGCUGCAUUAGCUAGUUGGUAAGGUAACGGCUUACCAAGGCAACGAUGCAUAGCCGACCUGAGAGGGUGAUCGGCCACACUGGAACUGAGACACGGUCCAGACUCCUACGGGAGGCAGCAGUAGGGAAUCUUCCGCAAUGGGCGAAAGCCUGACGGAGCAACGCCGAGUGAGUGAUGAAGGUCUUCGGAUCGUAAAACUCUGUUAUUAGGGAAGAACAUAUGUGUAAGUAACUGUGCACAUCUUGACGGUACCUAAUCAGAAAGCCACGGCUAACUACGUG